UACGUAGGGUGCAAGCGUUGUCCGGAAUUAUUGGGCGUAAAGGAGCUUGUAGGCGGUUUGUCGCGUCAUGCUGUGAAAUUUCGGGGCUCAACCCCGAACUUGGCAGUGGGUACGGGCAGACUAGAGUGUGGUAGGGGAGACUGGAAUUCCUGGUGUAGCGGUGAAAUGCGCAGAUAUCAGGAGGACACCGAUGGCGAAGGCAGGUCUCUGGGCCAUAACUGACGCUGAGAAGCGAAAGCAUGGGGGAGCGAACAGG
rnacentral:rRNA from 1 species